rnacentral:rRNA from 1 species
GACAGAGGGUGCAAACGUUGUUCGGAAUUACUGGGCGUAAAGCGAGUGUAGGCGGUCUGUAAAGUCGGGUGUGAAAGCCCCGGGCUCAACCCGGGAAGUGCACUCGAAACUCACAGGCUAGAGUAUCGGAGAGGUUGGUGGAAUUCUCGGUGUAGAGGUGAAAUUCGUAGAUAUCGAGAGGAACACCGGUGGCGAAGGCGGCCAACUGGACGAAUACUGACGCUGAGACUCGAAAGCGUGGGAGCAAACAGG